GUAGACAUCAGACACUUUGGUAAUAGCAAAAUAAUAAUAGUAAUAAUACAGGAGAAAUAAAAAAAUCAAGUAUCAAUUGUCAAGUAAAUGGAUAUUUGGAUAUUGUGGUAUAUUUGCUAAACGUGACACUAUAUGAAAACUAAUCAUCUAUAUCCACAUGCAAAAACAGAUGAGUUUUAGUGAUCAAAUGUCCAGGAAAACAUUUUAAAGCAAGCCACAAAGGGCAAAGUGUAGUACAAUAAACUUUUGUGAAGUUAAAUGGCCUAUUUACAUGUACAUAAACAUGCUAAAUAUUUUUUUUAAAGUGAUGCAUGGUAAAAACCCAUUUCAAGGAGAGUGGUUACCACUGAGAGAGAAGAAGGGGAAUUGAUUUAGGAUACACAAGAACAUAGGUAAGUUAUUGGUGAUGUGUUAUUAUUCUGUUACAUGAAUUUGUAGAUUCAGGGAUAUUCAUUAUGAUAUAAAUUAAAUAAAAACAAAUGCAUAAUUAACUACUACAGUUAAAAAUGAAACAGAUUGAGAAAGUCUAGAAUUCCAGGCUAAGAAUUUAAAAUUCACCCACUAGUCCUCUGAAGUUUGUGAGCAAAAAGGUAACAAUGAUGUAUUGAAGUUAUUCACUAGAAUUGGAUAAAAGCAGAUAUUCAGAAGCAGCCUUUGCCAGACUCCAAGUGUGAAUAGAUGAGGUUCUGGCCCUAAGGUUAUGACAGUGGUAUUUUAAGAGAAAGACAAGGAAAGAGUAGCAGAGUUAAGAAUUCAUAGUAUUCUUGGUAUGAAAACAGAAGGUAAAAUCAAAGAGAUGACCAAAAUACAAGGCCAGAGUUAACAAAGAACAGAUUUCCAUCUCAGAAUUUCUUAAACCAGCAUUGUAAAUAUAGUAUAUUAAGAAGAUAUGAAGGAUUUUGAAUAUUCAAUACCACCUCUAUAGUGGCUAAAUUUAUGUUAAACAAUAUGGAAUGCUUCCAUUUCUUGGCCUCUCGCUAGAGCUAACAACAUGUUCUUAAAUACAAGACCAAAGCUGUG
rnacentral:lncRNA from 1 species